UUGCUUCGACAGCACGCAUACUAAAAUUGGAACGAUACAGAGAAGAUUGGCAAGGCCUCUGCGCAAGGAUGACACGCAAAUUGGUGAAUUGUUCCAUAUUUUU